rnacentral:rRNA from 1 species
AUAAGUUAAGUAAGGGCGCAUGGCGGAUGCCUAGGCUCUCAGAGACGAUGAAGGACGUGAUAAGCUGCGAAAAGUUACGGGGAGGGGCACAUACCUUAUAAUCCGUAAAUAUCCGAAUGGGGCAACCCACUAUAUUGAAGAUAUAGUAUCCGCAAGGAGGUAAACCCGGUGAACUGAAACAUCUAAGUAACCGGAGGAAGAGAAAACAAAAGUGAUUCCGUUAGUAGUGGCGAGCGAACGCGGAUUAGCCCAAACCAAUGUUGUUACGGCAAUAUUGGGGUUGUAGGACCACGAUAUUCAAUGCUAAGUGAAUUAGAACUGUUUGGAAAGACAGACCAUAGAGGGUGAUAGUCCCGUAAAAGUAAGCGAAGUUAUUGAUAGUGGUAUCCUGAGUAGUGCGGGACACGAGUAAUCCUGUAUGAAUCCACCGGGACCAUCCGGUAAGGCUAAAUACUCCUGAGAGACCGAUAGUGAACUAGUACCGUGAGGGAAAGGUGAAAAGAACCCUAAGUAAGGGAGUGAAAGAGAUCCUGAAACCGUACGCCUACAAGCGGUCGGAGCACAUUUACUGUGUGACGGCGUGCCUUUUGCAUAAUGAGCCUACGAGUUACUGUUUCUAGCAAGGUUAAAUGUUUAAGACAUGGAGCCGUAGCGAAAGCGAGUCUGAAUAGGGCGCUUUAGUUAGUAGUAGUAGACGCGAAACCGAGUGAUCUACCCAUGGGCAGGUUGAAGCUGUGGUAACACAUAGUGGAGGACCGAACCAGUUGACGUUGAAAAGUCUUUGGAUGACCUGUGGGUAGGGGUGAAAGGCCAAUCAAACUCGGAAAUAGCUCGUACUCCCCGAAAUGCAUUUAGGUGCAGCGUUGAGCAAAAGUUUUAUAGAGGUAGAGCUACUGAUUGGAUGCGGGGGCUUCACCGCCUACCAAUUCCUGACAAACUCCGAAUGCUAUAAAAUGUUUCUCAGCAGUGAGGGCAUGGGUGCUAAGGUCCAUGUCCGAGAGGGAAAGAACCCAGACCAUCAGCUAAGGUCCCCAAAUAUAUGUUAAGUUGAAUAAACGAGGUGAAACUGCUUAGACAGCUAGGAUGUUGGCUUGGAAGCAGCCAUUCAUUUAAAGAGUGCGUAACAGCUCACUAGUCGAGCGGUCGAGCAUGGAUAAUAAUCGGGCAUAAACAUAUUACCGAAGCUAUGGACUUGUAAAAGUGGUAGGGGAGCAUUGUAACCUGCGUAGAAGGUGUGCUGUGAGGCAUGCUGGAGUGGUUACAAAAGAAAAUGUAGGCAUAAGUAACGAUAAUGCGGGCGAGAAACCCGCACACCGAAAGACUAAGGUUUCCUCAGCGAUGCUAAUCAGCUGAGGGUUAGUCGGGUCCUAAGGCGAAUCCGAAGGGAGUAGUCGAUGGAUAACAGGUUAAUAUUCCUGUACUUCUUAUAAUUGCGAUGGGGUGACGGAGUAUUGAAAGCACCGCGUACUGACGGAAUAGUACGUUGAAGACUGUAUUUAUAGAAUUUGUAGGUAAAUCCGCAGAUUUUGGAGAAGGUCGAUAGUACCACAAAUCUUCGGACGAGUGGAUAGUGUGCCUAAAGGCUUCCAAGAAAAACCUCUAAGCUUCAGAUUAUAAGAACCCGUACCGUAAACCGACACAGGUAGUUGGGAUGAGAAUUCUAAGGUGCUCGAGAGAUUCAUGGCUAAGGAACUAGGCAAAAUCGACCCGUAACUUCGGGAGAAGGGUCGCCCAUCUUCGGAUGGGCCGCAGUGAAAAGGUCCAGGCGACUGUUUAUCAAAAACACAGGGCUUUGCUAAAUUGAAAGAUGAUGUAUAAGGCCUGACACCUGCCCGGUGCUGGAAGGUUAAGUGGAGGGUUUAGCUUCGGCGAAGAUCUGAAAUGAAGCCCCAGUAAACGGCGGCCGUAACUAUAACGGUCCUAAGGUAGCGAAAUUCCUUGUCGGGU